GACGAACGCUGGCGGCGUGCUUAACACAUGCAAGUCGAACGGAAAGGCCCUGCUUUUGUGGGGUGCUCGAGUGGCGAACGGGUGAGUAACACGUGAGUAACCUGCCCUUGACUUUGGGAUAACUUCAGGAAACUGGGGCUAAUACCGGAUAGGAGCUCCUGCUGCAUGGUGGGGGUUGGAAAGUUUCGGCGGUUGGGGAUGGACUCGCGGCUUAUCAGCUUGUUGGUGGGGUAGUGGCUUACCAAGGCUUUGACGGGUAGCCGGCCUGAGAGGGUGACCGGCCAAAUGGGGACGGGGAUACGGCCCAGACUCCUACGGGAGGCAGCAGGGGGGAAUAUUGAAAAAUGGGCGGAAGCCUGAUGCAGCAACGCCGCGUGCGGGAUGACGGCCUUCGGGUGGUAAACCGCUUUCGCCUGUGACGAAGCGUGAGGGACGGUAAGGGGGAAAGAAGCACCGGCGAACUACGG
rnacentral:rRNA from 1 species